UGAAUGACUAAACCAAGUCAUUGUGACUAUCGUUUAAACUUACAGGGCAGACUUGUUCUGUAAAAAAUACAUGCAAUAAACCAGUUUGAGAUUGUUUAUUAUUUCCUGUCUUUCACGUUAAGCUGACAGAUCUCAGUUGGUCAAUGUCCACAACGUGAACCACAGAGCCUCAUUCCCAUAGAUCCACAUCUAUCUGUCCAGUGAUUGCGUUAACAGGAAACUGUAUUCUGACCUGUAAAAAGGAAGCAAUGAAUAACUCAAAACGUUCAUUUAGGGAGACCUCGUGCGAUCCAUCGGAAAGGACAUCCCCAGUGACCGGUGUGCUCUGCCGCUGGUGAGGAUUUUGUACAAGGAAGCACCUGCUCUAGAGAAACAGGUCCUAAGCAGAGCUAGUCCAAAUCACAACACCACCCACCCACGCCAUGCCUUCUCCCACCGGAGGGGUCCAUUGAGGACAAGGAGACAGCUGAACUCAAAUAACACUCAGGAGUGAACAAAGUGUCAACAAAUACGUAUGUUCUUUUUACCUGCCAGGCUAUUGUGUUUCCCAGAGCGAGUGGGCCACACUUCAAGAUCAAUGUCAACAAGCAUGCCAGCCUUCCGGUGAAGAAGUGAAGUGUCAGUAGCGGGGUAUCAAAACCUGUAGUUAUCUCAUCUGUG
rnacentral:lncRNA from 1 species